GACAGAGGAGCCAAGCGUUGUCCGGAGUGACUGGGCGUAAAGCGCACGCAGGUGGUUCUGUGCGUGGGGUGUGAAAGCUCUCGGCUCAACUGAGAGAGGCCACCUCAUACGGCAGAGCUCGAGCCCUGCAGAGGUCCACGGAAUUGCCGGUGUAGUGGUGAAAUGCGCAGAUAUCAGGAGGAACACCGGUGGCGAAGGCGGGUCUCUGGGCCGUAACUGACGCUGAGGAGCGAAAGCAUGGGGAGCGAACAGG
rnacentral:rRNA from 1 species